CUUGAAAGAAUGAAAGUGAAGAAGGCAAAUGCCAUCUUAAUAUUAUUAUGUAAAUUGUUUUGUCUUUGCAGAUUCCCUGGAAUAAUCUCGGUCACUCCUGGCUGAUCUAUAGAUAUACAUACAGCCAAAUCAACCUAAUUUGAUUUUUGGCCAUUUCAUGGUAACAACACAACAGAAAAGAAAUCAGGACUACUUUGGGAAAGAAAUUGUGUGAACAAGUGUAAGAACAAAAAGAGAAGUCAGUAUUGACUACCCCUCACUGUAUCCUGGGGAUGGCACACCCCCAUGAGAAGACUGCCUGAAAGCCACAAGUACUGGUCUAGUAGUCGAGAUCAACUGGUGACCUAACUGAUGCCUUUUGUCACUCAUGCGUAUCAUUUUGGGAGGCAUCCUCAGCUGUGGGGCACUAUAGAGAUCUAGUUUCAGCAAAACUCAAGACCAACAUCUGGACAGAGUAAAAUUACCAAGCUACUGUCACUCUGUGAGGUCUCUUGAAAAUACUUUUUUCUUGUUGAGACUUGAAGACUGGGAAAAUGGUCUCCAGACAGAAGAGGCAACAGGAAUAACAAACACACAAUUACAGAGCUUUGAAGGAGCUUGGGAUGUUUGGGUAAGUAGUGAGGUCUAGAUCAUAUGUUGUGCAAAGGAAUAUAAACCUCACCCUUUCUGGGAAUGGGAGGCCAUUGAAGAAUUUUGAGCAGAUGAGGAAG
rnacentral:lncRNA from 1 species